rnacentral:ncRNA from 2 species
AGGUACCCUCGUCGAGCCAGUUGAACUCCACCUCGUGGGGCAGGGAACCCGGUGCGAAUCCGGGACUGACGCGCAGCGGUGAGGGUGACGGGCGGGCACGCCCCGGGACGGUUCCCGGGGCAGUCACUGGAGCGGGACCAGGCUCCGGGAAGGCGCUCCGCACCGAUCGAUCCCGAGUCCGAAGACCUGCUGGCGCUGGCGGUGACGG